rfam:Zootermopsis nevadensis contig2328, whole genome shotgun sequence.
CUAUAGGCUUUUCUAGAAGCCAUACACAGUGCCAGAUAUCUUUUUU